rnacentral:rRNA from 1 species
GAUGAACGCUAGCGGGAGGCCUAACACAUGCAAGCCGAGCGGUAUUGUUUCUUCGGAAAUGAGAGAGCGGCGUACGGGUGCGUAACACGUGUGCAACCUGCCUUUAUCUGGGGGAUAGCCUUUCGAAAGGAAGAUUAAUACUCCAUAAUAUAUUGAACGGCAUCGUUUAAUAUUGAAAGCUCCGGCGGAUAGAGAUGGGCACGCGCAAGAUUAGCUAGUUGGUGAGGUAACGGCUCACCAAGGCGAUGAUCUUUAGGGGGCCUGAGAGGGUGAUCCCCCACACUGGUACUGAGACACGGACCAGACUCCUACGGGAGGCAGCAGUGAGGAAUAUUGGUCAAUGGGUGCAAGCCUGAACCAGCCAUCCCGUGUGAAGGACGACUGCCCUAUGGGUUGUAAACUUCUUUUGUAUAGGGAUAAACCUACCCUCGAGAGGGUAGCUGAAAGUACUAUACGAAUAAGCACCGGCUAACUCCGUG